GUCCUCCUCAGAUCAGUGUAUGGACAUCCAUGGCAACUAAUCCCAGAAGAAAUAAAGUCAUAUGGGUUAGGAAUGGCAUGAAGGCCAGGGGUGUUACCCUUGAAGUGGAGCCGGGCUGUCAUCGGGUACAAGUGAAAUGAAUCCAAGACUGAACUGGACCAGAGGACAAGCAUGACAGGAAGGAGGGGUCUGCAAUUUUGCCUGAAGUCAUUACCUCUGGAAAACGGAAAGUAAAUACAUGCUACUGCUGCUCAAGA